ensembl:lncRNA
CGCAUUUCGAAGGUUUACACGGGGCCCCGGUGACGUCUUUUUUCGGACUUCAUUAUGGCUGCUUAAAAAUGGUAUUGUUUGUGUUGCAGAGGCUGACCGAUCCCUGUCAAUGUGCAAUGGCCCGUAGAAACCUAGACGCGUCCAGUAUGUGAUUUGACCCCCGUGGCCUGUAUUUUGUCACAUGGGUGCCCGUUUGUCCAGGAGGAUAUACCUCGACGAGAGAUCUCAAAACACUGCACCUCACUUACCUUGUUGUCUGUCGAGAUGGUCCACCUCUCCAGCGAAGAGGCUCGUCGCAUCUCAUCUCUGUACAGGACGGAGAACCACACUGACUUUGUUAUUCCAAAAAGAAGAGAGAAAAAGCUGAUCGUUUUCAUCCAGAGCUGCUAAACGCUUAGCCAUACACAUUUUUUUCCCAGGAAGGAUUUUACAAAUGGAUUCGAGAAGCAGAUCAUGGUAUUUGUCCUUCAUCAUUUGCUUGAGUUCAAUUGUCUUCGUGCCAGAGAGGGUCCCAUUCCACUCAGAUAUAAUAUAUAUAAAUAUAUGAGCCUCAGCCUUAACUGUACUCUUGUUUUUCCGAUUGGACUUGAGACGUCUGUCAAAAGGCCUUCGUCGUGCGUAGAGAAGCAUACUAGCUAACUCCCUGUGCGGCAUCUCGCUUCUCUUUUAAACCACUAACUGUCGCGAGACGCUCGGAGAUUCGGAGACGAGGCCGCUGGCUGUAUUUCAAACGGUCAUGCUGUCGUUUUCCAGGAGGACAGAGGCAUCGAGCACCUGACGAAGUUGCACCCAAAUCGCCGACCGAGUCGAUUCCUAAAAAUGUUUACAAAACGGUUUACUGCAACGCAACGCUCCAGCAUUCCACAAAACGGACUGUGAAGCAUCCGAUGCAAACGUACGGCGGGUCUGUCCAUCCUCCGUUUCUGUCGCUCGCGUCUCGCAGCGGCUUCCAUCGCGCGCUCGUCCAUGCUUAACGAAAGAGCCAAAGUUGAGCCGUUGCGAUCUCCGUGGCUCUGUCCUCCCAUCUCUCUCUCUCUCCGUGUUCGCAACGAGUCUCUCUAAUGUACCAAGGGAUGUUUCUUUUCCUUUGAAAUGUCUUUCUUUGUUUAAUAAUCCUCUCUUUGUAGAUCAAUGGCCUUUUAGUGUUGCUUUGCUUCAAUCUGGAGUGUAUCUUUCACUAAUACUUGCAAUAAAAAGCUUUGCUUUUGAAACACAG